ACUUUCCUUGGGUCGCAUCAGUUCUCUGGAGUGCCUUACCCAUGACAGAUUAAUUCCCAAGAUCCACACUCAAGAGUGACCUAAAAAUCACAUCUUUUCAGGUUUUUAUGAUUCUUCACAGAGAUAAAAAAAAUAAAAACACAUUAACAUCACAGAAGAAAAGCACAGCGUCCCUGAGGGAGAAUGGCAUACAAAUUCUACAAAGUCUGCCCCAACUGCAGGCUGCAGACACUGACAAGAGGGAUGCUCCAGGGCAAGUGGUCACCAUACGGCUCUACUCUGUAAUAGCAAGAAGUGACCUGGAGAUCUCAGCCCCAAAAAACAAGCGCCAGGCCAUCAGGGAGACCAUUUUUCAGAAUCCUCCUUGACGUGUUACCACAGAGCUAGACAUUCUGGUCGCUGUGAGGAUGGGGCAGCUGCAGCUACAACAAAUAAAGCCCAGCUGGACAGCGGGGUA